GUGGGGAAUAUUGGGCAAUGGGCGAAAGCCUGACCCAGCAACGCCGCGUGAAGGAAGAAGGUUUUCGGAUCGUAAACUUCUAUCCUUGGUGAAGAUAAUGACUGUACCCCAAGAAGAAGCCCCGGCUAACUACGUGCCAGCAGCCGCGGUAAUACGUAGGGGGCAAGCGUUGUCCGGAAUGAUUGGGCGUAAAGGGCGCGUAGGCGGCCUGGUAAGUCUGGAGUGAAAGUCCUGCUUUUAAGGUAGGAAUUGCUUUGGAUACUGUCGGGCUUGAGUGCAGGAGAGGUAAGUGGAAUUCCCGGUGUAGCGGUGAAAUGCGUAGAGAUCGGGAGGAACACCAGUGGCGAAGGCGACUUACUGGACUGUAACUGACGCUGAGGCGCGAAAGUGUGGGGAGCAAACAGGAUUAGAUACCCUAGUAGUCC
rnacentral:rRNA from 1 species